UCCCCUGUGGCUCAGAUGGCUAGAGCGUUGUAAGUAUCCGUAGAUGCAUCUCAGAUGGGUUCCACCUCGACAUACUAAUUCAUCAUCAGGGACUGUUAAUCCAAAGGUCGGAAGUUCGAGCCUUCCCGGGGGAG
rnacentral:tRNA from 1 species